rnacentral:lncRNA from 1 species
AAGAAGAUGUUUAUGACCAUAUUGUCGGAUUUUUCCAAUCACUUGGACAGUCUAUAAGCAGUGCUUAACGGAACUCGACAACUGAACUUCUAUGUGUCUGCACAUAUUGUAAAUAUUCGCAGCGGCGAAGUCAGGAAAUUGAUUAGACCUGCUCCCCAAGUAUACUAAAGCUGUAAAUCUUAACUAUUUCCAUAUUUUACUAUGAAUGGUCUCUCCUUUUAACAUACGCAACAAAUUCGUGGAUAUCCAUCUGAUCUGAUCUAUCCUAGGGAUCAAAUACAAAAUGAAUAUUCAACUUCAAUAGACAGAAUGAAAAUCCAAAUCUACCUAAAUGGAUAUCCAUUUCUGUCUUCGAUCCUUAGUUGAAGGUUGUCAUUGUUUCAAUUCAAUGGUAAAAAAGCGUGUUUACCUUUAAUAAGGUUUCGUAUUCGAGUUCCAACAAAGACACAAGUGUACGCCUGGUUAUAGUUUGGAUUUUUCCCUUCCCCUCCUACAUUUGUAAAAAAAAUCCAUCGAACGUUGUUGUCAGCUCUACUUUUUGAAAAAAUUACGAUGAUAUGAUCGAACACACACUUUGUACGGUACCUAUCUAAUAAUGAUUCACUUGAUUUUAUCAAAAUAUUAGGUUGGAAAUGCUCGCGGGACAUUCUGGAGUCAUGGGCAUAUAUCUUUAUCCGAGGACGACAAGGUAAACCUGCACGUCGCAUUUGUUUUCUUUCCCUCAUUACAGUAGUUCUUGGCAGUCAUUCUCCUUGGGUGGACUAUUAGUUUACUUUUACAGCUACUUUCAGGACUUCUGGGAUUGGAGUUGGCAGGAAUUGGCAAUGUAUGACCUAGCAGCGAUGAUACACCACAUUUAUUCAGCAACAAGCUCGAAAGUUUUCCUUGUUGGUCAUUCUCAGGGAACGAUCAUGUCUUUAGCGGCUCUCUCGCAGCCGAAAAUUGUGGAAAUGGUCGAAGCUGCUGCACUUCUGUGUCCAAUUUCAUACUUGGAUCGUGUAACUGCUCCUCUUGUACAUAAAAUGGUCACCAUGCACGUUGAUCAGGUCUGUUUCGAGCUGCAUCUCCUUACAUUUUCUAGUAAAACCCGUUUUCUAACAAUACCUUCUGAACAGAUGGUUACUGCCAUGGGCAUACAUCAACUGAACUUCAGAAGGUAUUUAUCAUGCAUCUUUGGAUUAGUUAUCCGCUUAACCCUCUCGAAAAAACGCAAACUUGUUCAUAUCGUCUUGUUUCUUCCGACAGCGAGUUUCUGAUCAACCUAUUGGAUUCAUUGUGUGAGGGGCUUCUACAUUGCGACGACUUGUUGAGUUCAAUAACAGGUACAUGUUGUUAAGAAAUGUUAUAUAAACUAGUUAUGAACAUCUCCUGACAAUUCGAGCUAUUGAGAUGUAAGAGUUUUUGAUUCAGAGGCUCGGUUUGCCAUUAUUAACCCUUUUCAACCGUAGGCUUCUGGUCAUAUUUCUCCCCUCCUAACAAGUUCCAUGAUCUUGCAGGGGAUAAUUGCUGCUUCAACAGUUCACGAAUCGACUUAUAUCUCGACUACGAACCACACCCAUCAUCUGCGAAAAACCUGAGGCAUCUUUUCCAGAGUAUGUUCUACACACAAAUAUUCCUAGUUGCAUUUAGGGGGGUCGGGCGGGCAGUAGUAACCAACCACAUUUUGUUGGGUAAUAAGGAUUCUAUAUAAAAAAUAGGUUAACCGAUUCAACCACCGACAUGGUGAUGAUUGGUUAAUUAUCCGCUCAAAGUAGGUCAGUUCUGGUUAAAAUAGGUAUAACUAUGAGGAGAGUCAUUUAACAUUUUCUUUCGGUUAAAUAUUCUCAAAUCCUUAACUGGUUAACUGCCCUAAGUAGUUUACGAAGGUGGCGGUUAAUCGGUUUUAACAGUAAGCGAAUGGUCAGCGCUUCUAGCAUUCAGCAUUCAGCAUUCAUGUCAUCAUACAUUAAAUCUCACCUUCCCCUUUGAUCAAACAGUGAUUCGGAAGGGCACAUUCGCGAAGUACGACUACGGGACGUUCAAAAACUUGAAGCAGUACGGGCAGGCAUCUCCACCAGUGUUUGACCUGAGCCAGAUACCAGACUCGUUGCCGCUGUGGAUGGGGUACGGAGGUCUCGAUGGGCUAGCUGACAUCGACGACAUGCAGCACACGCUUAAGGAGCUGCUGUGCAAGACGGAGCUGCUGUAUCUGGAGAACUACGGUCACAUCGACUUCCUUUUGAGCGUCAGAGGGAAAGAAGAUGUUUAUGACCAUAUUGUCGGAUUUUUCCAAUCACUUGGACAGUCUAUAAGCAGUGCUUAACGGAACUCGACAACUGAACUUCUAUGUGUCUGCACAUAUUGUAAAUAUUCGCAGCGGCGAAGUCAGGAAAUUGAUUAGACCUGCUCCCCAAGUAUACUAAAGCUGUAAAUCUUAACUAUUUCCAUAUUUUACUAUGAAUGGUCUCUCCUUUUAACAUACGCAACAAAUUCGUGGAUAUCCAUCUGAUCUGAUCUAUCCUAGGGAUCAAAUACAAAAUGAAUAUUCAACUUCAAUAGACAGAAUGAA